UACAGAGGUCUCAAGCGUUGCUCGGAAUCACUGGGCGUAAAGCGCACGUAGGCGGAUUGCUAAGUCAGGGGUGAAAUCCUGGAGCUCAACUCCAGAACUGCCUUUGAUACUGGCGAUCUCGAGUCCGGGAGAGGUGAGUGGAACUGCGAGUGUAGAGGUGAAAUUCGUAGAUAUUCGCAAGAACACCAGUGGCGAAGGCGGCUCACUGGCCCGGUACUGACGCUGAGGUGGCGAAAGCGUGGGGAGCAAACAGG
rnacentral:rRNA from 1 species